AUUGAACGCUGGCGGCAUGCCUUACACAUGCAAGUCGAACGGUAACGGGCCUUCGGGUGCCGACGAGUGGCGAACGGGUGAGUAAUAUAUCGGAACGUGCCCGAUCGUGGGGGAUAACGAGGCGAAAGCUUUGCUAAUACCGCAUACGAUCUACGGAUGACAGCAGGGGACCGCAAGGCCUUGCGCGGACGGAGCGGCCGAUGGCAGAUUAGGUAGUUGGUGGGAUAAAAGCUUACCAAGCCGACGAUCUGUAGCUGGUCUGAGAGGAUGAUCAGCCACACUGGGACUGGGACACGGCCCAGACUCCUACGGGAGGCAGCAGUGGGGAAUUUUGGACAAUGGGCGCAAGCCUGAUCCAGCCAUGCCGCGUGCAGGAUGAAGGCCUUCGGGUUGUAAACUGCUUUUGUACGGAACGAAAAGCCUUCUUUUAAUACAGGAGGGUCAUGACGGUACCGUAAGAAUAAGCACCGGCUAACUACGUGC
rnacentral:rRNA from 1 species